UUUUUAAACCUACUUUUUUAUGACUUUUGAGACAUAAGAGUAGACAUUAUAUAUAAGAAAUAAGAAUAGAAUGCUAUUAAAAAUAUUUGGAGGAUUAAAAAUUCUUGUAAAUUAACAAGACGCUAGCAGAAGUUAAAAAUACAAUAGAAGGCUUGGAAGAUAAACUUGGGGAAAACUUGUAGGAGGUAGUGUUAAGAAACAGAGUUGAGGGCUGGGGUUGUGGCUCCGUGGUAGAGCGCUCACCUCGCAUGUGCGUAGACCCUGGGUUCGAUCCUCAGCACCACAUAAUAAUAAAUAAGUGAAAUAAAGGUAUUGUGUCCAACUACAACUAAAAAGUAAUUAUUAAAAAAAGAAACAGAGUUGAAAAAGCAAAAAUAAUAAAGGCAAUUAGAGAACUACUCGAGGAGUUUUAAUAUCCUAUCAAUAAGAUUCCAGAAGAAGCAGAGAAAUGGAGAGAAUUGGAUAAUAAACUUUUAAAGAAUUAAUUCCACAUGUUAAGGAAGGUAUGAUUUCUAGACUGGAGUUCCAGUAGGUGAUCAGCAAAGUGGAAGCAUACAGACCCAUACUGUAUCAUGGUGCAAUUUCAGAACACUGAGACCACAGAGAAAAUCCUACAGCUUACCACAUAGAAGAACAGACCAAGGACAAAGAAUCAAGUGGUACCAAACUCCUGAAAAAUAACUAGAAGCUGGAUAAUCAUAUCUGCACAACCUUUAUCUCCUCUUCACUCUUUACUAGGAGGUUUCCGGUUCAUGCACUCUUCCAGAAAAAAUGAAUAGGCCAAGAAAUAAAAGUAAUAGGAUCAAGGAACCAAGGGACUCCAUGCAAGAUAGAGGAGAAAGAAAACCCUAAGAUAAUGGUGAAAUGAAAACAUCCUACAGAAAUGAUGGCAAAACCAGCCCCUCCAUAAUAAGUUAGCCCCAGAUGACAAGAGUUAGAGAAGAAAAAAUUUAAAAUGUUAACAAGAUUAUGAGUCCCUAUGGUUUUACUGGAAAACCACUGAGACCUCUUUCAUAUAGUGUCUGAUGGUUUUAAAACUCGUUCCCAAAGUCUUUGAAAUUCUUUCCUUCAAGAGAUAAAGAUUAAUGCCUCCCUUGAGUGUGUGCCAGACACUAACUUAAAAUGAGGAGAGAGAAGUAAAAGUGAUGAUGUGGUUGCUCAAAACCUACUCUAGUAGAGGAAUGCAUGUCAGGAAUGCCUAUGUAUGUGACUGGGGUACAGGCUGUGUGGGAGAAAGCUUCCUCUUCCUUAUGCAGAAGGUAAAAAGAAGUUUAAAA
rnacentral:lncRNA from 1 species